UUUUUUUUUUUUUUAAAGAAAACCAUGAAGUGCAUAGGCCAAAUUAUAUCACACAGGUUUGGUAUAUUCAUACUUGCAAUAUUACGUUAAACCUUGAUGCUGGCCGUUUGGUACUAUAAUGAUGUGUCAGGAAACUUUCUUCCCUUUGGUGGUCUGGUACUUGCCAAGAAUGAUGAGGGUGGCUAAUUGGAUGUUAUACCAUGCUCAUCUCUGGCUUAGGGAUACAGAGACACAAGGGAAUACAGGACAAAGGUUGCAACUAUUUCAUGGAAUCAGCACAGUAUUUUGUACAGGAUAACUUUUGAGAAAAAUUAAAAAUUAUCUGUAUUAAUUUAAAUCAGGUACAACAUACACACAUCCAAAUCUCACUUUCUAACACCAAAGUUUGAAAUCAUGACUAAAUUCAACAGAGUACCUCAGAAGACACAUUUUUAAAAAAAGACUCUUGGAUAUUUUAAUAAUAUUAAAGAUUUGGAGUUCCCAUCGUGGCUCAGUGGUUAACUAAUCCGACUAGGAACCACGAGGUUGCGGGUUCGAUCCCUGGCCUUGCUCAGUGGGUUAAGGAUCCAGCAUUGCUGUGAGCAGCGGCUUAGAAAAAAAGGCAAAAAGACAAAAAAAUAAAAAAUGAAAAAAGAUUAGAUAAGAAAUCUAAUAUAAUUAAUCUAAUCUAAUCUUUAAGAAAGAUUAUAUAUUUGGGUGAAAAUAGACUAUUAUAUUUUAAACCAAUGUAAUAUUCCAUAAAGGUAUAGGUAUAUUUUAUUUCUUUGAUUUCACUUUACAAACUUGUUAUUUAGCUACUCAAUAAAUGUGAAAACUAGAUACUAUUGUACAGACCUUGGACUCAGAAUAUGUAAAUCUAUGUGUUUAAUGUGUGAAUUUGGCAAACCUCUGUGGCUUCUAAACCUCUGUUUUACCUACAAGACUCCUAUAAAUCUUAUGUACUUGUUCCUUGUUAGAGAAGUUUUAUUAACCUACCCUUAAUAUGCUUUCAAGCUAUUAGAAAAUAAUGUUAAGUUUCAACUUCUGAGAUUUUAAAGUAGUAGUGAGAUGCAUUAGUUUAAUUUUGCUUGUCAUGAGACUUCUGAAGACCAAAUUACCUUGCCCCCAAAUUCAUACAUUGAAGCCCCACACCCCUGCAAUGUGAUUAUUUAGAGAUUUAGAGAUAAGGCUUUAUCAGGUUAUUAAGUUUAGAUGAGGUUUUAAGGGUGGGGCUCUGAUCCAAUAGGUUAAUAUGCUUUAAGAGACACCAAGGUCCUUGUCUGUUACCUCAAUCUCUCUGUUGCCCUCUCUUUCAUGUGAAGACAAAACAAGAAGGCAGGCAUCUGCAAGCCAGGAAGAGAGUCUCAUCAGAACCUAAAUGUGCUGGCACUUAGAUCUCAGACUCCCAUCCCCAGAACUGUGAGUAAAUAAAUUUUUAAGUUACCCAAUCUGUGGUAUUUUAUUAUAUCACAGCCCAAGUGGACUAAUAUGGAGAAGACUCAACAUAGUAAUAAAUAAAUAAGUCAAAUAAAUUGAAGUAAACAAUCAAGUGGGAGUAGACUUCUUAUAGCUGUAUUUAUCUAGCAGAUUUCUAUGCAAAUAUUAAAAAUAAUAAUUACUUAAAUGAGAAAAUAAAUCAUAUAUUAAUAUAUAUAUUGUUAAAUAAAAAUGAGUUAUAAAAUAUGUCCAGUAUGGGUAUAUAUAUGAAAAUAUCAAUGACAUUGGUGAGAAUAAUGUUUAGGCUUAACUGUAUUGUUUUACAUAACUAAAAGUACUAAUUAUAUAAUACAAAAGAGCAGUUGUUGAAGUUUUUAGAUGUAGUUUAACCAAACUGUAAAAUAUUGCAAGUUAGUACUUCGAGGAAAUGAAUGGUAGCAUUACAUUAUGUAGCGAUAACAUAUUCCAGAUUUUGGAAAACUCUGAAUAAAUAUGCUGUAUUCCAAAGCUAAGCUUUUCAAGUUCUAAUGCCAAGACCAUAUUUAGAUUUUGAGAGUCUUCCUACCUAUUAAUGAAGCAUAGUUUAUAUAUGUUGUUUUUAUAUAUCUUAAAAAUUUUGAAACUUUUGGCAUUUAAUAUGCAAAAGAUAUAAAUUCUACAAUAGUAAAAAGAAUUCAACCAUUUCUUAACUACCAACACUAACUAGUGUAGUUAAGAGUAAGUAAUUUAUGCAGUGGAUAAUCUGAUUAAAUAUUUGGUCUUCACUCAAACUCUACUCUCCAAUUUAUCCGUUUCGAAAACUUAGUCAUGGUAACAGAGGACACUGAAUAUUUUACCUGGGGUAUGAUAGUUUUAGAGCAAAACUUGUCAAUAUUUUAUACCAUUCAGUACUGUUUAAAUAUUCUGACCAGAGCCAUGUGGGGGUGAGAGGGUGGUCAAGAAAUGUCAUAAUCUUCCUCAAAUGCAUCCUCAGGAAUUAUCAGGGUGAAUGUAAAGGAUGUAGUGAAGCUCAAGAAUGAGACGAAGUAUGAGUUCAUAUUUUAUUGACUGACUGACACAAUCCAGGUACUGGGGCCAGAAAAGAGAAUAAGACUAACUAGGUCCAGGAGAUCCUGGAGCUUAUUUUUUAGAAGGAUAAUCAUAACAAUAACAGUAAAUAAGCAAUAACAAGAUAAAUUCAGAUAAUUAUAUGUUAAAGAGUUAACAAGAGAACAUGAAAGAGUGAUGUGAAAAGAGUUCUAAGAGACCUCAAGUUUGUGUGGUUGGGAGGAUCUCUACAAAGAGGUAAGAUGAGAGGGGACCCAAAUGACCAGAAACCGCUUCCAGGAGAGUGUCAAGAGGAAGGAUAUUCCAGCCACAUGGAACUGCUAAUACAAAAGCAGAAAUAAGCUUGGUAUCUACAAAGCACAGAACAUUUAAAAAGCUGUAUACUGAGCACACAAGCAGGAAUGAUAGAUUUAAAAAACUAAGUUAAAGUUAAAAACUGAUAUAUAUGCCAGAACAGGGAUUUAAAUUUUGUUUUGUGUAGAAUAAAAAGCCACUGGAUUGCCUUAGGCAGAGGAGUAAUAUGACAGGAUUUCUAUUCAUAAAGAAUCCUUCUGGUUGACUAAUUUUAAGAAAAUGUCCUGAAUUGGGAGAUGGAAAAUAAGAAUGAUUUUUACAAAUGAAUUAAGUGAGUCUUAUGAUCAGACACAUUUGAGAAACUAUAUCGUAAGUGACGAAUGCCAACAUUACCACCAGGGAGGCAAUGCUUACGUUUGGUGUAUGUUUAUCAGAACUUGAUAAAUGUGACAAAUUUGUUUACUCUGAAUCUGUUUAUAAAAAAUCAAAAUGUCCCACUCAUGUUAACUUGGUCUGUGAUCUCCCGAAAUUUAUAUACUAGAGAAUUAAUUCAGACAUUAAACAAUUAAAUGAAAAGGAGCAUUAAUGUCUGUCCCCAAGGGAAGGUGACACUAAACAGCAAAUACAAAAACACCGUGACUGUGACUGGUCAACCAAGAAACUGCAGGAGAAAGAAAAAAUUUCUCCUCCUCUUUGAACAAUGGGCCUAGCAUUUUUAUUUUGUACUGGGGCCCACGAAUUAUGUUGCUGACCCUGUCUGUAGAUUGUCCUCACCUAUAAAAUCAGAAUUAAAACCUUUAUUUUUAGAGUUGUAACAAUUCCAUAAAAUGAAACAUAAGUAGUACUUGGUACAAUGCUCAACACAUUUAGGAGGUCAAGAGAAGACAGCUUCUCUCUACCCCCUCACCACCUCUACUCUUUGCCAUUGAUUAAGAACAUGUUUCCUAAGAUAGUUAACUUCCAGGAGCCUUGGCUUCCUCACUCAAAUGAGAAGGUUGGGAGAGACACUGAGAUCUCUCUCCUGUGUCCACAGCAUUGUUUCUCUCUACAAAUAACGGGGUCCUUGUACCAGCACAUCGGAGUAUCAUGACACACAUGGCAUGUCAGGAGCACCUCCCAGCUCAUAGAGUAGCUUCUCCUAAUUACUGACCCAGUCAACACUCUACCUUAUAAAAAGAAGCAUCUGUUAUAAGGACUUCUUUCUUACUCUUUCUUUCUUCUUGUCUCUUUCCUUCCUUCUCCCCCUUUCCUUCAUUCCUUCCUUCUUUCUGGAAUAUUGGUAUCAUUGCUUUUUAUCUUAUUUAAGCUGUUGCAUUAUUUCUAAUGUCUUUGAUGUUUUAAUUUUUCAUAAAAUAUUAACUUAUGUACAAUCAUUAUUAAGUGCUUCUUAUCUUAAUACAAGGACAGCUGUACCUACUUCUUACAUUUUAAACCUGGUGAUUAAAAUAUUUGAUUGGCGUUCCUGUCGUGGCGUAGUGGUUAACAAAUCCUACUAGGAACCAUGAGGUUGCAGGUUCAAUCCCUGGUCUUGCUUAGUGGGUUAAGGAUCCAGCGUUGCUGUGAGCUGUAGUGUAGGUUGCAGAUGCAGCUCGGAUCUCAUGUGGCUGUGGCUGUGGCGUAGGCCAGUGGCUACAGCUCUGAUUUGACCCCUAGCCUGGGAAAUUCCGUAUGCCGCAGGAGCAGCUCAAGAAAAAAGCAAAAAGACAAAAAAAUAAAUAAAUAAAAAUAAAUAAAUAAAUUAUUUGACCCUCUGAAAACACAUUAUACUUUGUAUCAGAAGCAAUAUACAAAUGUAUAAUUUUAUGGAAC
rnacentral:lncRNA from 1 species